rfam:Aedes aegypti strain Liverpool supercont1.153 genomic scaffold, whole genome shotgun sequence.
CCUCUCAUGGCGUAGUGGUAACGCGCCCUAACUAGAGGUCAGGGAGUCGUGAUUUCGAUUCUCACUGAGAAGA